rnacentral:lncRNA from 1 species
UUGGCUUUACGGUCCCACUCGACCACUUUCGAUACUCAAUGGCUUUACGGUCCCACUCGACCACUUUCGAUAAUCGAUACACAGAAAUACGGCCACGUAGGCACAAUCUACGCCACACAGGCAUGAUCAACUAUCGCCACACACAGGCAUGAUCACUUAUCGCCACACAGGCAUGAUCAACUAUCGCCACACACAGUCAUGAUCACUUAUCACCACACAGGCAUGAUCAACUAUCGCCACACACAGGCAUGAUCACUUAUUGCCACACAGGCAUGAUCAACUAUCGCCACACAGGCAUGAUCAC